rnacentral:rRNA from 1 species
UACAGGGGGGGCAAGCGUUGUUCGGAAUUACUGGGCGUAAAGGGUCUGUAGGUGGCCAACUAAGUCAGACGUGAAAUCCCUCAGCUUAACUGGGGAACUGCGUCUGAUACUGGAUGGCUCGAGUGUGGGAGAGGAAUGCGGAAUUCCAGGUGUAGCGGUGAAAUGCGUAGAUAUCUGGAGGAACACCGGUGGCGAAGGCGGGUCUCUGGGCCGUAACUGACGCUGAGGAGCGAAAGCAUGGGGAGCGAACAGG